UACGUAGGGUGCAAGCGUUGUCCGGAAUUAUUGGGCGUAAAGAGCUCGUAGGCGGUUUGUCGCGUCUGCUGUGAAAACGCGAGGCUCAACCUCGCGCCUGCAGUGGGUACGGGCAGACUAGAGUGCGGUAGGGGAGAUUGGAAUUCCUGGUGUAGCGGUGGAAUGCGCAGAUAUCAGGAGGAACACCGAUGGCGGAAGGCCAGAUCUCUGGGCCGUAACUGACGCUGAGGAGCGAAAGCGUGGGGAGCGAACAGG
rnacentral:rRNA from 1 species